GACGAACGCUGGCGGCGUGCUUAACACAUGCAAGUCGAACGGAAAGGCCCUGCUUUUGUGGGGUGCUCGAGUGGCGAACGGGUGAGUAACACGUGAGUAACCUGCCCUUGACUUUGGGAUAACUUCAGGAAACUGGGGCUAAUACCGGAUAGGAGCUCCUGCUGCAUGGUGGGGGUUGGAAAGUUUCGGCGGUUGGGGAUGGACUCGCGGCUUAUCAGCUUGUUGGUGGGGUAGUGGCUUACCAAGGCUUUGACGGGUAGCCGGCCUGAGAGGGUGACCGGCCACAUUGGGACUGAGAUACGGCCCAGACUCCUACGGGAGGGAGCAGUGGGGAAUAUUGCACGAUGGGCGGAAGCCUGAUGCAGCAACGCCGCGUGCGGGAUGACGGCCUUCGGGUUGUAAACCGCUUUCGCCUGUGACGAAGCGUGAGUGACGGUAAUGGGUAAAGAAGCACCGGCUAACUACGUG
rnacentral:rRNA from 1 species